CUACUUACAUUCCCCUUGGUUAAUUCGAUUUCCUUGUCUGUAAGCUUUGUAACAAAUUACAUUAGUGUUAAGCAAUGGCACCUGCUGAAGGGGGGAUAGCAACGGGUGCUCUGAGGAGCCCACCCCGUGGCAGAGCUGAGCAUUGUCCGAUUGGAAGCCGGACAGCGACUGAGCAAGUGGAAAGAAAUGUGGUCGCGGCCGUGACACCAGAGCCGUUGUCGGUUGAGCUCCUUAUAGGGUGAGUUUGAAGAACCCAUUGGCAUUUGUGGCUGUAGUUGCCACAGUGCUGGCAAUGGUAGUGGUACUGGUACCAGCAAGAUUGCGAGUGAUCGAGACAUUGGCUCCAGAUAGAGGAGGAGUAAUGCCAAUAGGUAAAAGAUUCCCCGUAUUAGUGCAAAACAAGCGACCAAAAAUGGUAGCUGAAGCUACAGGUAAUGCAAUCUUGUCAAGUGCGACGGUGGACGGGGUAAUAGCAGUCGUGAAAACAAUGAGGAGAGCAAGGCCAAGAAACAAAUCAUUAUGUGCUGAUGAGAAGCCAUGACUGCAGAUAUCAAGUAUGCGGCUUUUGCUGGGAAUGCUUGGGAGAAGACAAGCUUAUAUAAUAGAAUUUUGGCCCUGGGGAAUGUAGAUGAUGGUUAUCAAGGUAGCUAUCCUUUGAAGUCUUACACCUAUUUACCCUUUCAAGUUUCUUUCGUAUUUUUGCUAGGUUAGAAAUUAUGACCACUUCAUCCAGGAAAUACGAGAAUGAUUGGUUUGAUAAUAGGUAUCCACUUUUGUAAACUUCAUAGCCAUUGGGUCUAUUUUCUUUUGAAUUUUAGUAGCAUGACAAGUCUGUCAUUUUGGAAGUUUCCCACAUACUACAGCUCUCUCUAUCCUUAAUUAUUUAUCACUUCAUGUAAGACAUAGGCGAAAAUAUCUACAAAUCAGGGAUGGAAAUACCUAACAUAAAGGGAUAAAAUACGCAACGGAUCUUCUGUACCACACCCUGUCUCACAUCCUGUCCCACUUCUUAGAAUCUCGCCAAGUGUCCCUUAAUAAACCAACCUCUCAAACAACCCAACUCAGACCAUAUUAAAUUAAUUAAUCGAUUAACCGGACAAAGAAACUUAAUCUCUUUAAUCAAUAUAAUCAAAACCAAGAAAAAUAAAAACUCUUUAACCAAAAUUACAAUUUAUCAACGGAAAAAACCCUAUAACUCAAACAACCUCUGUCCUCUUCAUCAUCUCUUCUCAUGGGAAACAACUUUUUUACGAGGAUUAGAUAAAGCUUCGAAGCUCUUCCCAAAGGGCAUUUUCUUUCUAGCUACGCAGGCCAAUUUGAUGUAAUUUGCUAAGCUCACCACCUGUUCGAGCAAAUUCCUAAGAGGAAGAUGAAUCAAACUGUAAGGUAAAAGGGAAAAGGGUUGCUCCCAUAUUUAUUAGGAGGGUGUUUUGCGUUUUAUACGUUUGAUUUUGUUUAUUAGGACUGCCUGUAGGCUUGUAAUUAGUAGUUAGAAAAUAUGUUAAAGUUUGCAUGAUGGUUACUUUUUUGUGCUGGCACAUGCGAUCCUUGUCUCCCUUCUCUGCGCAGGCCAAUCAAACUGUAAGCUUCUAAUUUGC